rnacentral:rRNA from 1 species
GGGUUCCUACGGGGGGCAGCAGUAGGGAAUCUUCCACAAUGGGCGAAAGCCUGAUGGAGCAACGCCGCGUGGGUGAAGAAGGUCUUCGGAUCGUAAAACCCUGUUGUUAGAGAAGAAAGUGCGUGAGAGUAACUGUUCACGUUUCGACGGUAUCUAACCAGAAAGCCACGGCUAACUACAUGCCAGCAGCCGCGGUAAUACGUAGGUGGCAAGCGUUAUCCGGAUUUAUUGGGCGUAAAGGGAACGCAGGCGGUCUUUUAAGUCUGAUGUGAAAGCCUUCGGCUUAACUGGAUUAUUGCAUUGUG